rnacentral:rRNA from 1 species
UGGCGGCACGCCUAACACAUGCAAGUCGAACGAAGUAGCAAUACUUAGUGGCAGACGGGUGAGUAACAUGUGGGUAUCUGCCCUUUGGCCUGGAAUAACACGAGGAAACUUGUGCUAAUACCGGAUAAGUCUUUACGGAGAAAGCUUUAUGCACCAUUGGAUGAGCCCGCACUUGAUUAGUUUGUUGGUGGGGUAAUGGCCUACCAAGACUGUGAUCAAUAGCUGAUUUGAGAGGAUGAUCAGCCACAUUGGGACUGAGACACGGCCCAAACUCCUACGGGAGGCAGCAGUGGGGAAUCUUGCACAAUGGAGGAAACUCUGAUGCAGCGAUGCCGCGUGAGUGAAGAAGGCCCUUGGGUUGUAAAGCUCUUUCGUCGGGGAAGAAAAUGACUGUACCCGAAUAAGAAGGUCCGGCUAACUUCGUGCCAGCAGCCGCGGUAAUACGAAGGGACCUAGCGUAGUUCGGAAUUACUGGGCUUAAAGAGUUCGUAGGUGGUUGAAAAAGUUGGUGGUGAAAUCCCAGAGCUUAACUCUGGAACUGCCAUCAAAACUUUUCAGCUAGAGUUUGAUAGAGGAAAGCAAAAUUUCUAGUGUAGAGGUGAAAUUCGUA